CAUUGCGAUACACAAGCGAGUGCUUGAAGCAUUUUCAUGGCUUUGAACACGGCGCUUGUUUCAGGGUGGCUUUACUUUUCAUCAAUCUUUACCAAUCCAAAUACACUGAUUGGUUAGUAUUGAAAUCUUUUCCCUCUUCCUUUUUGUUUUAUAUGUUUUACAUCAAAAAGCUUACGUUUAAACUGCUCCUAUAAAUAUUUAUAUAUAUAUAUGUGUGUGUGUGAAAAAAAGUUCUUGACCUCAUAGUGAAUUAACAAUGUCCAGACAUUUAAUAGUGGAGGAGGGAAAUUUCGGAUUAAUUUUGCCUUUGAAUGCUUGAGACUUUUGCUAUUGUCCUCUGCUUUUUUAAUACACUCUUCCACGUUUUUGCUUUGUCUCACUAUGUGUAAAGAUAACUUAUUUUAGAAUUUUGGUAAGUCAUGAGUUGCCAAAUGCAAACAGUUUUCGGUAUAAUUAGCCUCAGAGGGUGAAACAUGGACUCCACAACUUGUGAAAAUGCUUAAGUAGAGAGAAACAUGAAGCUUCUGAAUUUGUCAGCACCCUCCUUCUGGGCACGCUCUGCAAAUGUACCUCAAAAGCAUUGUAUUCAACUUCAUUCAUAUGAUUUGCUCACUAUUUUCAUACGCGACUUAACUCGAACCUGGUCUUCCAAGGAUGAUCGUGUAUUUGACUCCGUCUGGUUCUUCAUUAUCGUUUCUUUAAGAAUGAAUUUUUCUUUUGAAGUUUGUGUAAUUUAUUAUGAUUUGUAGGAGUAUAGUUUAAAAUAAACAAGUUUUCCUAUCGAAUUACGCAACCAGCCACAAAAUCAAUAGCUGUUUCUUGCGA